UCGCAUACGACGAAAGCCGCUUUGGAUAUAAUAGGAAAUUAUAUAGUAGAAUCGCGGGGGCUGGUUGAUGUAGCGGGCAAAGGUUUGAUGGAGACUUUUUGGUUGCUGGGAAAAGUUGGCCAAGUACAGCCGGAAAGUCCUCGAUGUCGUCUGCAGGACUACGACCAGAAUAUUCUAGAAUUACUUAUUAAAUAAUUAUUUUCGUUGUUGACUAUUAAGUAAUAAAUAAUUAAGAUACAAA
rnacentral:misc_RNA from 1 species